UGAGGAGUUUGAAGGUGUACAAGUGAGCAAGUAGAGUUCUGAGCACACCCAGAUAUAUUCAGUUUUGUGUUUUGAACUGAUUAUCUGUCUGGCCUGAAUAGAUAGCAAUUGAUUUCACAGCUUUGCGUUGGUGAAACAAAUCCCAGCCAAUCAGAAUCCACAACUAUGUUUGCUCGUGCUCUCCUCACUCUGGAGAAAUUCGGUUAAAAGUCACGCAAACCUUAUCCUCCUCUGAGAGAAGCUUCCGGCCCAGGUUUUGGUUCAUCUUUUAACAUCAUUCUUCAUUCUGUUUGGGAUCAAACUGUUUUGAUUGCUCUUCCGGUUCCUCCACUUUCCUCAAGCAUCGCCAUUGUCUUUUAAAUUCCACAGAUCACCAAUUGUUAAUUUCUGGGAGAGGCUUUUAUCCUGUACUGGGCCAGACUGCAGAUAGAAAGUUGGCAUCACAGUGGGCCUGGUACCGGUCUCUGUGCCAGAUGAUCAGCCCGAGAGGAGCAGCAUGCCAUCACAUCUGCCGGGUCCCGGCAGAAAAAUGGAGGCAAAGUUGCCUCCAUUUUUGCUUGCCAACAUUCUGUUAGCUAAAAUAACCCUGGUGAUUCAUAACCUAAUAGCACUUAAUAAUGUAUGAAAUAUUAAGAAAAAAACAUCAAAUGUUUGUCCUUCAAACGUAUUUUGUGUGGAUGUCCUCACAUCACUGACCAGCUGAAAUAUGUUUGGGGAAUUUCCAGACGGAAGAAGUUGAU
ensembl:lncRNA